AUUAAAUUACACCUCAUAAACCUAUUAAAUAAAAAUACAUGUAUUUUAUUUCUAUUAUUACUGUAUUUUUUAAAGUAAAAUCGAUAUUUUAGAAAUCAUUUCACCCCUAAAUUUACUUCAACUUGUCCUGUUUCCUCACUCAACUCUCGCACCAAUCCCACCAUUUUAGCUCAAUCAUCCUCAUUAACAGCAGAAAUCUUUCCAUCAGUUGAAUCCAUAAAAUUCAUAUGAUUUUAUCCCCG
rnacentral:lncRNA from 1 species